rnacentral:rRNA from 1 species
AGCGAACGCUGGCGGCAGGCCUAACACAUGCAAGUCGAACGGAUCCUUCGGGAUUAGUGGCGGACGGGUGAGUAACACGUGGGAACGUGCCUUUUGGUUCGGAACAACGCAGAGAAAUUUGCGCUAAUACCGAAUGUGCCCUUCGGGGAAAGAUUUAUCGCCAUUAGAGCGGCCCGCGUCUGAUUAGCUAGUUGGUGAGGUAAAGGCUCACCAAGGCUACGAUCAGUAGCUGGUCUGAGAGGAUGAUCAGCCACAUUGGGACUGAGACACGGCCCAAACUCCUACGGGAGGCAGCAGUGGGGAAUCUUGCGCAAUGGGCGAAAGCCUGACGCAGCCAUGCCGCGUGAAUGAUGAAGGUCUUAGGAUUGUAAAAUUCUUUCACCGGGGACGAUAAUGACGGUACCCGGAGAAGAAGCCCCGGCUAACUUCGUG